UACAAAAACGGCCUUUACCAGCAAUUAUUUAGUGGCGAUAAGACAAUUGCCGCUAAUUGAUUCUUUAAGCUGAAAUAUUAACGGCACAUGAACAUUAGCCGAUGAAAGAAAUAGUUUUACCGAUAAUAGAAAUAAUUUGCCACUAAAAAUCGCUAAUUGAAACCAAUCUUAUCAUUUUGCCUUUCUCUCCAAUUCUUUUUCAUAACAUUUUGAUAGUCCCUCCACUUAUUUUAAGAAAAAAUAAAAGGAAAACCUAGCCCAAAAUUCAAUUUUAGCUGCGCAUCGUAGACUAAAGCAACUGUUCUCUCUCUGAAACUGAGGUCGCCGGCUAGCCAUCUUCUCUGCAACAAUGUUGAUUUUGGGUUUCAAGAUUGUUGCUGACAUCAGUCUUCUCCUUCACUUUUUUGUCUUCAUCGGCAAAAUAUUACGCUUCCUGUGUACCCAAACACUUGAGGUUAUGUCGAUUUGAUAUUUUUUAUAACCAACUAUGUCUUUCUGAUUUGUAAAGUAAAGUUUUCUUUGUUUGCUAAGUCGUGUUUUGCAAUAUCUGAUUAAUUCCUCCUUUGUUUCCUCUACUGUUUUAUGAAUUGGUUCCUCUGUUUGCUAAGGCUGUUGUUAUUAUAUUCAGAUUUUCGUGAUUGUUUAAAGUUUUCUGACUGUUUUUGAUGACUAUUGAGAUUUUAGUUGAAUCUUCCACAAGUCGAGGUGUGAAUUCAACUGUGUUCGAAAUGUGUACGACAGACUCUUUAAUUGUUUACAAAAGCCUAGUCCCUGGUUCCAAUUUGCUAGGUUUCUUAGCAAAUACUAAGGGAAUUUUAGCGGCUUAAAGGUUCAAAAAGUAUUUACAACUAUAAGAGAGAUGCUAUCAAAAUUAUUGGUUGCUAGACCCUGACCGGAUUUAUUUAUAGUCAGGUGAUUAAUGAAAAUGUUGAUGAAUGCAGCUGUAUAUAAUGUCAAUUUCUCUACUGGAGUUUCAGUUUGGAUGUGUAAUGAGUAUUUUAUUAAUCUAAUAUUUAAAAUAAUUGCAUAAAUACCUUCAAUGAGAUGUAAAAGAUAAAUUCUUGAACUUGUCUAAUUGGAUAUUCUUUAUGCUCUGACGUCCUGGUUGAUUAAAGAAGUGCUGAUUAUUUCACUUCAAGAGUUUCUAUUGAUUCCAAAAAGAGGUACUCAGUGUUCCAUAUUCAAUUCUGAGCAAUUCCAUAGAAUUUGAAGAAUAGUUAAUAUUGCUUUUGAUGCCAUCUACUCAUCCUACAUCUCUAUGUAUGAUGAAUGAUAAUAUAUUUCAGUUUGAAAGAUGAUUUGGAUUUUCAUUCCUAUUUGAUAUAUGUCAUGAUUAUUGGUAUUUAUUCUGAACUUUGUAGUUAUGUUUAUGACUUUAUUCUAGUUUCCAGACCCUAACCUGGUUAGUUUAUCCGCGCGAAGGUCUUAAAAGACCAGAAAAAUUUCUUACUAAUAUCCAAACAUUAAAAAUAUCUAUUAGCUUAUAGCUCAGUUCCUGGGCAUUGAUAUAACACACACACACACACACAAAACCAAUUCAAUGGAGAAUAUCUCUGCUUAGAAAUUCCAGCUACCUUAGAGAACACAUAAGUCUAUGACAAAAGAUGCAUUGCCAAUAGAAGAAACAUUAUUUGUUUUCAAUUGAGUUAUCUAAAAAGCAAUAAGUACUGUGAGCUUUGUAAAGUGACCUUCUGUGAUAUGUUGUAUGGUUAUCAAUCGAUCUCCUAAGCUUAAUACUUGGUACAACACUUUGAAGUUUAUUGGAUUAGGCUCGAAAACUCGUCCGUUGUGAGUAGAGACCAUCGCAUGCUUUAGCAUUUAUAUAUUCAGAAAUUUGAAGAUCUCUUUAGCUUUAAAACUAAACCAUUGUAAAGUUAUAAAAGGACUUAAAUAUUAUGAUGUAUUAAUAAAAACUGAGAAGUGAACCUGAAUUCUAUCAAUCAUCGUAUUAUGGAGUAAUAAACUUCAAUGAGCUUUAAUUCCACAUGGGACUAUGGGAGAGCUACAUAUUUACCUUUUGCAUUUAGUUAACAGGAACUCAUGCUUUUUGAAAAUGGCAGUGACAAAAAAAGUGUGUAAAUUGUUGUACUUCCUGUCUAAUUAACCAUCCUUAUUUUUUUUUUUCCAGUUGAGUGAAUCUCACUAAAUGCAAAGCUUUUCUUUUACACUCUUUAUUAUCUUUUCUAUACCAUCUUAGACGCACUCAUGUUAGACGCAAUCACUCUUAUGCUAAUAAAGUGAAAUGCAUAAAAAUCAACUUGAGCUUCAAAUUUAGGAUACACUUCUAUUUGAGGUGGUAAUUGUUUGCUAAUGCUUUAAAUGUGGUAAGUUAAAGCAGGGUGCUUGUUAGAAUCAGAUUACUCUUUUUUCCUCUUCUUGAUCAGUCUUCACCAUUAGAUUAGAUGGACUUUAUGGAAAAAUUCAAUUUAACUCCAAGGUAGAAACAUACAUAAUAUAAAAUUAAAAAAAACCUACAAGCUAAAAAAAUUGGCAAUAAUUUAUUACAUAGCCUUCAAAGGGCUUAAAUUGUGAAUAAUGAUAAACAGACCUAAAAGAUUGAAAAGCUAGACAGAUUUUGACAUAAGUAAAUUAGAAGAAGAAAAGACCUUAUGUAAGAAUAGAUCUAAUCAAAUGAAUGUGUGCUUUUUCUUUUUGCGUGCGAGCUUCUGUUUUCUUUUGUGCGCAUUAUGUUCUUCAGAUCAGCAUCGACAAAAGAUUUAAAAAAUAUGUAAGAUCUUCUAUUUUAACAGAGAGGAAAAUAGAACUUUGUUUCUAAGAGGUUUAUUGUCCAGAUUGAAUUUUAUAUAGUCCUAUAUAGUCGCUAAUCAAAUUUUCCUAACUUUCUAAAGACAUUAUGUUCUUAUUCAUUGAAAUUUAAUGUGCAUUUUAAUUGUUUAGAUGAUAUCUUUGAGCUAUGCAGUCAGAAUUACUCCAAAUGAGAGAAUUAAUGAGCAAAUAUACUCCCUUUGAAUCUACGCCUUAAGAUAUCAAUGGCACCUCAAGUGAACAGGUCCCUGAUGCCAACAGUGGCCAUGAACGAGUACCACAAGCAUUAAGGAUGCCUAGUGUUGCUGAAAAUACUCAACCUUCUCACGGUACUACUCAUCUAUAUCCUUAGGCUCCUCAAGGCAUUUCCCAAUAUCUUUGUCAAUCUAGAAAAGUAUUGGUUUUACCAAAAAUGCAUGGAUAUUUUGCACGUGCUGUCUAUCCUCACAGUAUUCUUCUUUACUUGCUUUUCAACUUCUGCCUGCUCCUACACCAUUUCCCUGC